rnacentral:rRNA from 1 species
GCGGAGGAAAAGAAACCAACAGGGAUUGCCCUAGUAACGGCGAGUGAAGCGGCAACAGCUCAAAUUUGAAAUCUGGCUUCGGCCCGAGUUGUAAUUUGCAGAGGAAGCUUUAGGCGCGGCACCUCCUGAGUCCCCUGGAACGGGGCGCCACAGAGGGUGAGAGCCCCGUAUAGUUGGAUGCCUAGCCUGUGUAAAGCUCCUUCGACGAGUCGAGUAGUUUGGGAAUGCUGCUCAAAAUGGGAGGUAAAUUUCUUCUAAAGCUAAAUACCGGCCAGAGACCGAUAGCGCACAAGUAGAGUGAUCGAAAGAUGAAAAGCACUUUGAAAAGAGGGUUAAAUAGCACGUGAAAUUGUUGAAAGGGAAGCGCUUGUGACCAGACUUGCGCCGGGCUGAUCAUCCGGUGUUCUCACCGGUGCACUCUGCCCGGCUCAGGCCAGCAUCGGUUCUCGCGGGGGGAUAAAGGCCCUGGGAACGUAGCUCCUCCGGGAGUGUUAUAGCCCGGGGCGGAAUGCCCUCGCGGGGACCGAGGUUCGCGCUCUGCAAGGAUGCUGGCGUAAUGGUCAUCAGCGACCCGUCUUGAAACACGGACCAAGGAGUCAAGGUUUUGCGCGAGUGUUUGGGUGUAAAACCCGCACGCGUAAUGAAAGUGAACGUAGGUGAGAGCUUCGGCGCAUCAUCGACCGAUCCUGAUGUUCUCGGAUGGAUUUGAGUAGGAGCGUUAAGCCUUGGACCCGAAAGAUGGUGAACUAUGCUUGGAUAGGGUGAAGCCAGAGGAAACUCUGGUGGAGGCUCGCAGCGGUUCUGACGUGCAAAUCGAUCGUCAAAUCUGAGCAUGGGGGCGAAAGACUAAUCGAACCAUCUAGUAGCUGGUUACCGCC